CCCUUAGAUGUUCUGGGCCGCACGCGUGCUACACUGAGUGGAUCAGCGGGUCAGGUUGCGCGAAAGCGUUUCCUAAUCUUUAAAUCCGCUCGUGAUGGGGAUUGACGGUUGCAAUUUUCUGUCAUGAACGAGGAAUACCUUGUAAGCGCGGGUCAUCAUCCCGCGCUGAAUACGUCCCUGCCCUUUGUACACACCGCCCGUCGCUCCUACCGAUUGAAGUUUUCGGUGAGUUGACAGGAGGAUUUUUUUGAAACUGGUUCGCCAGUGGAUUUUAGAUCCAAAUGCCAACGAAUCGAUGGCUUUAGAGGAAGGAGAAGUCGUAACA
rnacentral:rRNA from 1 species